UAANNCGUGAGUGACCUGCCUUUUAGACUGGAACAACUUACCGAAAGGUGAGCUAAUGCCGGAUGAGUUAUAUAAGUGCAUGUUUAUAUAGGAAAAGUUGGGGAGACCUGACGCUGAAAGAUGGACUCGCGUCCCAUUAGCUAGUUGGUAGGGUAAUGGCCUACCAAGGCGACGAUGGGUAGCCGGCCUGAGAGGGUGGCCGGCCACACUGGGACUGAGACACGGCCCAGACUCCUACGGGAGGCAGCAGUGGGGAAUUUUGCGCAAUGCUCGUAAGAGUGACGCAGCGACGCCGCGUGAAUGACGAAGGCCUUCGGGUCGUAAAGUUCUUUCGACAGGGAAGAAAAUGCCUAUAAGUAACUGUGUAUGUAUUGACGGUACCUGUAUAAGCAGCCCCGGCUAACUCCGUGCCAGCAGCCGCGGUAAUACGGAGGGGGCGAGCGUUGUUCGGAGUGACUGGGCGUAAAGAGCACGUAGGCGGUGUUGUAAGUCAUUAGUCAAAGACUAGAGCUCAACUUUAGUAAGGCUAGUGAUACUAUAAUACUAGAGUAUCAGAGAGGAUUGCAGAAUUCCUGGUGUAGCGGUGAAAUGCGUAGAUAUCAGGAGGAAUACCGUUAGCGAAGGCGGCAAUCUGGCUGGAAACUGACGCUGAGGUGCGAAAGCGUGGGUAGCAAACAGGAUUAGAUACCCUGGUAGUCC
rnacentral:rRNA from 1 species